rnacentral:rRNA from 1 species
CCCGCGCGUACUUAAGCAUAUCAAUAAGCGGAGGAAAAGAAACCAACAGGGAUUGCCCCAGUAACGGCGAGUGAAGCGGCAACAGCUCAAAUUUGAAAUCUGGCCCCCCGGCCCGAGUUGUAAUUUGGAGAGGAUGCUUUUGGCGCGGCGCCGUCCGAGUUCCUUGGAACAGGACGCCACAGAGGGUGAGAGCCCCGUACGGACGGACGCCUAGCCUCUACAAAGCUCCUUCGACGAGUCGAGUAGUUUGGGAAUGCUGCUCAAAAUGGGAGGUAAAUUUCUUCUAAAGCUAAAUACCGGCCAGAGACCGAUAGCGCACAAGUAGAGUGAUCGAAAGAUGAAAAGCACUUUGAAAAGAGGGUUAAAAAGUACGUGAAAUUGUUGAAAGGGAAGCGCCUGUGACCAGACUUGCGCCCCGUGGACCAUCCGGCGUUCUCGCCGGUGCACUCUGCGGGGCGCAGGCCAGCAUCGGUUCUCCUAGGGGGAUAAAGGCCGCGGGAACGUAGCUCCUUCGGGAGUGUUAUAGCCCGUGGUGGCAUGCCCCUGGGGGGACCGAGGACCGCGCUUCGGCAAGGAUGCUGGCGUAAUGGUCACCAGCGACCCGUCUUGAAACACGGACCAAGGAGUCAAGCAUUGGGGCGAGUGUAUGGGUGCCAAACCCGCACGCGAAAUGAAAGUAAACGCAGGUGAGAGCUUCGGCGCAUCAUCGACCGAUCCUGAUGUCUUCGGAUGGAUUUGAGUAAGAGCCUUACCGCUUGGACCCGAAAGAUGGUGAACUAUGCCUGAAUAGGGUGAAGCCAGAGGAAACUCUGGUGGAGGCUCGCAGCGGUUCUGACGUGCAAAUCGAUCGUCAAAUUUGGGCAUGGGGGCGAAAGACUAAUCG